AAGCCCGAGGAGAGGACCGGGAGGGCCAAGGAGGGCAGGCCACCCACGGCCCGGCUCCGGGGAGCAGAGCCCAGGCGUGCACCUUCAUGAACUCGUCCUUGUCGAAGCAGAGCGUGUCCGGCCCCUUGGGCAGGUUCAUCUUACUUCUCUCCAUCCCGCCGGCCGCCGCCUCUCAGUACCAACACUCGAGCGAGGAGGAAAGGUAGGAGGCUGCGCUCCAGGACGGUACCGGUGAAGCCAUGGCGUUUCCACCGCACAGAAGGCACCGCUUGCUCCAACAUGGCAGCGCCCCCGCCGGGCCAAUGAAAGAGGACGCCGCAGGCUCGCCUCCGCCGGCCUCCGCCAAGAGAGGCGCGCGGGCCGCUGCGGUGGAGCCAGCAGGUGGUCCUGCCCCCGAGCGGCGGAGGGCGACACUACAACCUCGCCUACGUUUCUGCAGGGCAGCCCCGCCGCUGUUGAUGCCGGGUUGGCUACAGAACACUCAAAAAUUGCAAAGAGAAAUAUUGUGUUCUGGAAAUUCUUCCGAGCAUUUUUUUCCAAUAUCGUCCUUAUGCUCUUCUGAUCCUCUCUUGAACUGUUGGACUAAAGCAGCUGACGCUUCCACCAGCAACCAGAGUCAUCCUGUCCACUACUGUGGGAACAGAGGGUUUCCAUUUGGAACUGCAGACCGAGCCUAAAGUCUGGUGGCCCUUUGGUGCCAGGAUAGCAGAAAUGAUUCUACAAAUGCCAGCGGCAUGCACCAGAAACCAGGAAGGAAUCAUACAGCUGAGCCAAACUGCUGUACUUUAAAACACUUGACCACAAUUCUCCAGUGGAUACUCAACCCUGGCUUCAAACUCCCUUGUCUCUCUGGUGAGUUUGCUUUCCCUCUAAUGGAUGACCGUUUCACACCUUCAAGACUUGCCUCAACAAUUCCUACCCCCACCUCUUCUGAACUAUGUCACCUCACUCCCAGCUCCUGUCCUAGGGAUGAGGGAGCAGAAGGCAAGCUUAGGACAAAGCAGAAACUGGCACCCUACACCCUCUCCCCAUGCCAUAUGUGUAACAUUCCUCAUGCACUCCUGGCUGCCCUAAAGGAAAAACGAUGCUUAACUGAUAGAGAUCCCAGUCCUGCAGGACAGGAGUCUCCCUCCAUCUACGAAUGUCCUAGCGACUUACAAGGAAGGAAGAAGCUUUCUCAUCAAUAGCCUGACUUCCAGACACCCAUACCUCAGUUUCCGGAAGCCCUAACAUCACCAUCACCCUCCCCUCCAUAAAAUUCUGGGAGGCUAAGGGGGAGGGAAGUGUAAUAAAACUGAAUUUCUUCUAAGCCCAAAGCCCACUGACAAGGAUGUGUGAUAGGAGGAAUGUAACAUAUCUCCAGGAAACUCCCGACUGUCUUCAUGCUUU